rnacentral:rRNA from 1 species
AUUGAACGCUGGCGGCAGGCCUAACACAUGCAAGUCGAACGGUAACAGGAAACAGCUUGCUGUUUCGCUGCCGAGUGGCGGACGGGUGAGUAAUGUCUGGGAAACUGCCUGAUGGAGGGGGAUAACUACUGGAAACGGUAGCUAAUACCGCAUAACGUCGCAAGACCAAAGAGGGGGACCUUCGGGCCUCUUGCCUUCGGAUGUGCCCAGAUGGGAUUAGCUAGUAGGUGGGGUAACGGCUCACCUAGGCGACGAUCCCUAGCUGGUCUGAGAGGGUGACCAGCCACACUGGAACUGAGACACGGUCCAGACUCCUACGGGAGGCAGCAGUGGGGAAUAUUGCACAAUGGGCGCAAGCCUGAUGCAGCCAUGCCGCGUGUAUGAAGAAGGCCUUCGGGUUGUAAAGUACUUUCAGCGGGGAGGAAGGGAGUAAAGUUAAUACCUUUACUCAUUGACGUUACCCGCAGAAGAAGCACCGGCUAACUCCGUG